ensembl:lncRNA
AGCCAGGGCAGGGCUGUUUCACUACACUGCGCUGUCUAUACUGUGCUGAAAGACUGGAAUUUUGGGGUCCUGUUUUCCUAGGGAAGUCUCAUACAUCACUGGUUAACAGCUCAGCUCCAUGCCAGUUUGAAAAAAGAUGGUAUAAAUGAGCUCUUUGGCUGGGUGCAGUGGCUCACAUCUAUAACUCCAGCAUUUUGGGAGGUCAAGGCAGGCAGAUCCCUUGAGCCCAGGAGUUUGAGACUAGCCUGGGCAACAUGUGAAACCCCAUCUCUACACACACAAAAAAAACACAAAAAUUAGCCAGGCGUGAUGAUGUGUGCCUGUAGUUACAGCUACUCAGGAGGCUGAGGUGGAAUUGCUUGAUGUCAGGAGGUCAAGGCUGCAGUGAGCUGUGAUCACACCACUGUGUUCCAGCUUGGGUGACAGAGGGAGAACCUCUCGAAAAAAAAAAAAGAAGAAGAAGAAAAAAAAAGAGCUCUUUGCUUCAUGGCAAAGAUCACUGAAGGUGGUCCCUGGAGGAGCUGUGCUUUCUUGUCCCAUGAAUGUUGGAGAAGUUUUGUUGUUUUGAGACAAGGCCUUGCUCUGUCACUCAGGCUGGAGUGUAAUGGCAUGAGUACGGCGCACUGCAGCCUAAGCCUCGUGAGCUGAGGUCAAGCCAUCCUCCCACCACAGCAUCCUGAGUAGCUGGGAGUAUAGGGGCGCACCACCACACCUGGCUGAUUUUCAAAAAUUUUUGUGUAGAGGUGGGGUCUUGCUAUGCUGCCCAGGCUGGUCUCAAACUCCUGGGCUCCAGGGAUCCUCCCAUUUCAACCUCCUAAGGCACUGGGAUUACAGGCAGGAGCCACUGCACCCAGCUAGUGGAGAAGAUUUUGAGCCUGCUGGAUGGUAUUUCUGAGUGCUAGAACAUUCUCUAAAGUAGAUGACUUUGGGCUUGGCCCUCAACAUCCUCUCCAUCGCUCCUCCACUGAAUAAUGGCUGAGAGGCUCAAGGAAUUGAUGCUACCUCUAGGCCUCUGAUUAGUCUAAUCAACCAUCCCCUUUUUUUUUUUUUUGGCCAAUGCUUGGUUCAGGGAUGGCAGGUCAAGGCCAAUGUGGGCCAAAGAGAUAAUAGAAAAUUUUGCUAAGUUCUCAGUCUUUUGAAUGCAAACUAGAAACACAUUGUUCUAGUUUCUAUGGGAAGUCCUUCUGCAACCAUGAAAAAGACACCCUGAGAACUAGACAAUAUUUGAAGUAAGAUAGAGUAAGUAAGAAUCAGAAUAUAUCAGAAGUAGUGGCUUUCUAAAAUUUCAGCCCUUUUUAAUUUUACUUUUCUUAAGUUUAAAUAAUGAUUCUAUGUUUGAAUUGUUCCAAACAUUUGAUGGAUGUUAUAAAUUUAAUAUAUUUUGUGGAAGGGAGGGAAAUAGAAAAUACUGGCCUGGUGCAGUGACCUACAAUCCCAGAGAUUUGAGAGACCGAGGCAGGAGGAUCUUUUGGGGCUAGGUGUUCAAGACCAGCCUAGGCCAACAGAGCGAUACUCCUAUCUCUAAAAAUAAAAAUAAAAACAAAAAAUUAGCUAGGAGUGAUGGUGUGUGCCUGUAGUCCUAGCUACUCAGAAGGCUGAGGCAGGAAGAUUGCUUGGAGCCCAGGAGUUUGAGGCUGUAGUGAGCUAUAAUUGUGUCACUGCACUCUAGCCCGGACAACAGAGCAAGACCCUGUCUCUAAAAAA